UGGGGGAUAUUGCACAAUGGGCGAAAGCCUGAUGCAGCGACGCCGCGUGGGGGAUGAAGGCCUUCGGGUUGUAAACUUCUUUUGCUCUGAACAAGGCGCACCAUGGGGUGUGUUGAGUGUAGGGGUUGAUUAGCGCCGGCUAACUACGUGCCAGCAGCCGCGGUAAUACGUAGGGCGCGAGCGUUGUCCGGAAUUAUUGGGCGUAAAGGGCUUGUAGGUGGCUGGUUGCGUCUGUCGUGAAAGCUCAUGGCUUAACUGUGGGUUUGCGGUGGGUACGGGCUGGAUUGAGUGCAGGAGGGGAGGCUGGAAUUCCUGGUGUAGCGGUGGAAUGCGCAGAUAUCAGGAGGAAUACCGGUGGCGAAGGCGGGUCUCUGGGCUGUUACUGACACUGAGGAGCGAAAGCAUGGGGAGCGAACAGG
rnacentral:rRNA from 1 species